rnacentral:tRNA from 1 species
GGGUCCGUAGCUCAACUGAAUAGAGUACCACACUACGGAUGUGGGGGUUGUGGGUUUGAAUCCCGCCGGAAUCA